GGGAAGGCCGGCAGGUGUCUCCCAGACAGAGCAGCUGGCUAUGGGACAGCGUCCGCGCAGGCCCAGCCUGUCACAGGCCUCCCGCUCAGGGUCCAGGCUUCCCUGUGGCCAGGAAGAGGGAGCCCCGAGGCACAGCGCGCAGGGCAGCGCCACUUGGAAGAAGCUAAGGAAAACUGUGAUGACUUAUGCAAAGCUGACAGCUCUCUGCUAUGGCCUGGGAAAGCAGCAGAAGAUGGCACAUGUCCCUGGGCCCUUGCACCGACGUGGGAGACCCAGAAGCUCCUGGACUGGCUUCGGAUUGGCCUAGCUCUAACCCUUGCGGCCAUCUGGGAAGUGAACCAGCGGAUGGAAGGUCUCUCUCUGGCUCUGUUUCUGCCUCUCUGUAUCUCUGCUUUUCAAGUAAAUAAUCUUUUUUUAAAAAAAGAUGUCUUUGAUCCUCCUUCCCUCCUGCAUCUACCUCUAAUUCGUCAUUAAGUCCCAAUUCUCUCCUGA